CUGAUAAAAACAUUAAAUCGCAUGCACACGAAUUGGAGCACAAAUACUUUUUUUACGUCAGUAGACGAUAGUACGACGGCGUUUUAGUUCCACGUAAAAAAAAAAGACUUCGAGAUUAAAGUCGAAAUGCUACGAGAAUAAACAUUUCGACUUUAUUCUCGAAAUCUUGUUUAUUUAUUUUUUUAACGUGGCACUAAAACGCCGCCGUACGAUAGAACUAGAAGCUACCUACAUUGCUAGAAUUUUCUGCAUUAUCAAGCGGUGAGCUCGCCUGUUGAAUGUCUCAUAAUCACUUGACUUUCUCAAACGCAUUUUUAUCAUGAACACAUUCAGUAUUCUGAUUAUUGUCUUUUUAUGUCACAAUAUCUUCAUAGAAAUCGUUCAGAAAUGGCCGUUUUGUGAGACCACUCUUCAGUAAAUGUACAGUACAAUAACAAACGCGAUACAUCCACGUGAAAUACACCUCUGUACUGUGCUUCUUAAGUGCUGGAGGCAGUGUAUAGGGAAAGUGUGGUGAUGUUACAUUAUUGCACCAUUAGGUGGCACUCAAGCUUCUUGAGUUGUAAAGAUGUGAGUAGCCAGGAGAGACGAGUGAGAAGAAAUACUGAGCGUGUGCAUGAACGUUAUGCUGACCGUUAGUGCGACUUAAUAAAGUUAUAAGAAGAAUUUACAUUUCAAGUUUAUUGUCUACAUAAAGACAUAACAGAAAGAUUAUGCACAAAUACACAUAAACAUUGCCAAAGUGAAGAUCUGCCCUUACGAGUAUUAACCUUGGAUUCAUCCGGAUGCUGCAGUUUGGGCUGUGACAGAUCCACUAUAACUCGAUUCCUGAAGUUAAGAAAACGUGGCGCCCCAAAACAGUUUCUGAAUGAUUAUGUUACGAUAUUAACCAAGACAACAAAUACUGAACGUGUUUAUGAUGAAAACGUGUAUGUGCAAGCGAUUUAACGCUAAUAACGUUAAUAGUAGUGAUGUGCAUUGUUGCAACGCUUUUUCAUCACGUAGUAUCUGACAAGCUAAGCGCUUCAGACCUGCUUCAUAUCUCUAAUCUCUGAGCUGUCGUAUGAAGUUUUAUAUUAAAACAAUUCACCCAAAUGAACAAUAAAUAGGUUUUAUACUCAAUUAUGUUUGUGUUUCUGUUGCAGAAUACAAAAGCUAUGUAAACGUGAGUGAACUCGACCCCUAAAAACAACACACCACCAGUUAUUUUCAAUGAACAGCUAACAUCAGCAGAAAGCAGAAUGUUUAGCUUAGUCGCCAAGGCUUAUUCAGAAAGCAGCUAGAUUUGGCGCUAGUCGCUUUUUAAAAAUAUGUCGCCAAAGGGGUCUGAAAAGUCGCUAAAAAUAGCGACAAAGUAGCCAAAUUGGCAACACUGGUGAUGUGCCGUUCGUGAACGAUUCGAAUCUUUAAUGUGACUUGGGAAGAACGAGUCGUCUUGGGAAGUGAUUCGUUUAGUGGCGCAUGCGCAUAGUGCAACAUGCUCCGGACGCUUAACAAGUGCAAUCAGAGCCGGAAAGAGAAUUGAUUAGUUCACCUUCCGAGUCUUGGUGUUCGAUCCGUUCGGUCUUUUUUCAUGUGAUGUGACAGCUUUGAACAGAGAAAUUAGCUAAUGUACAACCUUCCUAACAAACGGUUGCAUAUAGUCCUAGCGGUUGUUUAUUGAUAGACAAAGACAGUGAAAUGACAAAUUAAUCAAUAUUGUAUUGCUUUAUUUGUUAUAAAAUAACACAGAAUCUUGAUGAAAACCGAAACAAAAUUAACAGACCUGGCUUGUUACAUAUAUUUUGAUAAUUUUAUGAUAAUUCUUAAAUAUCAUCCAACAUAAAAAAAUACAGUUUUACUUUAUCGUAUUUUAUACUUAUCCGGCAAGUGGUCACGUGACAAAAGACCGAACGACUCGAACCCGAAGACUCGAGAGGUGAACUAAUAAAUUCUCUUUCCGGCUCUGACUGCAUUUGUAAACGUGUCUGUCACGUUAUGAACGAACGAGUCAAAUCCGAAUACUUGUCAGAUAAAAGAGGUGACCAGUUGACACUAGGGCUGCGGCUGCAUGGGACUGGAUGAUGAUCGCCCAACGAUGAAUAAACUACAUCAGAUUGGAGGACAGACUGGAAAACAGGCUCAGAAUCGUUUCAGGUGGUGGCGUCAAUCUCCUGACUGUACAGCUAUAUGUGCCAGAAUCAGUUAUUUGAAGAUUUGAUAGCUCAAAAAAUAUUUCAUUAGUCUCUGGAAUCGAAAUAAAUCUGAUAUGAUAAUCACAAGAUUGAUUUUUCCAUAACUCCAUGUUUAUACGCAUGUAUGAACACAAUGAUUUGUUAUUUUUUUCAAGUUUCACUGUGAAUAUAUCAAGUUCAUUUGAUGGUAAAUAACUGCAGCUGAUAUUUGCAGAAUCUUCUUGAUGGUAGUACAGAGUUGUAGUGGCAUUUACUGAUGUAUGCAUCUCAUCGGCAAAAGC